rnacentral:rRNA from 1 species
UACGAAGGGAGCUAGCGUUGUUCGGAAUCACUGGGCGUAAAGCGCACGUAGGCGGACUUGUCAGUCAGGGGUGAAAUCCCGGAGCUCAACUUCGGAAUUGCCUCUGAUACAGCAAGUCUCGAGUCCGGAAGAGGUGGGUGGAAUUCCUAGUGUAGAGGUGAAAUUCGUAGAUAUUAGGAAGAACACCGGUGGCGAAGGCGGCCCACUGGUCCGGUACUGACGCUGAGGUGCGAAAGCGUGGGGAGCAAACAGG